rnacentral:rRNA from 1 species
UGCCAGCAGCCGCGGUAAUACGGAGGGGGUUAGCGUUGUUCGGAAUUACUGGGCGUAAAGCGCACGUAGGCGGAUUAGUAAGUUAGGGGUGAAAUCCCGGGGCUCAACCCCGGAACUGCCUCUAAUACUGCUAGUCUUGAGUUCGAGAGAGGUGAGUGGAAUUCCGAGUGUAGAGGUGAAAUUCGUAGAUAUUCGGAGGAACACCAGUGGCGAAGGCGGCCAUCUGGACAGUGACUGACGCUGAGACUCGAAAGUGUGGGGAGCAAACAGGAUUAGAUA